GACGAACGCUGGCGGCGUGCUUAACACAUGCAAGUCGAACGGAAAGGCCCUGCUUUUGUGGGGUGCUCGAGUGGCGAAUGGGUGAGUAACACGUGAGUAACCUGCCCUUGACUUUGGGAUAACUUCAGGAAACUGGGGCUAAUACCGGAUAGGAGCUCCUGCUGCAUGGUGGGGGUUGGAAAGUUUCGGCGGUUGGGGAUGGACUCGCGGCUUAUCAGCUUGUUGGUGGGGUAGUGGCUUACCAAGGCUUUGACGGGUAGCCGGCCUGAGAGGGUGACCGGCCACAUUGGGAUGGAGAUACGGCCCAGACUCCUACGGGAGGCAGCAGUGGGGAAUAUGGCACAAUGGGCGGAAGCCUGAUGCAGAAACGCCGCGUGCGGGAGGACGGCCUUCGGGUUGUAAACCGCUUUCGCCUGUGACGAAGCGUGAGUGACGGUAAUGGGUAAAGAAGCACCGGCUAACUACGU
rnacentral:rRNA from 1 species